UACGUAGGGUGCGAGCGUUAAUCGGAAUUACUGGGUGUAAAGGGUGCGCAGGCGGUUCUGUAAGUCAGAUGUGAAAUCCCCGGGCUUAACCUGGGAACUGCGUUUGAUACUACAGGACUUGAGUGUGGCAGAGGGGGGUGGAAUUCCAUGUGUAGCAGUGAAAUGCGUAGAGAUAUGGAAGAACAUCGAUGGCGAAGGCAGCCCCCUGGGUUAACACUGACGCUCAUGCACGAAAGCGUGGGGAGCAAACAGG
rnacentral:rRNA from 1 species